CUUAGCAGCUCUACUACAGUGGAAGACCUAUUGACUUAAUAUUGGUUAAUCAGGUCUUAGUGUUUGCAACUUGAGCUCUUCAUAAGAGGUAAUCGAACAAUUGGCCAGGUAAGUAGGUGGGAGGCUCCCCUUACUCAGAGAGUAAGGUCCUAAUUAAGUAACCACCUUUCAUCCUUUCCUAGACACCAAUUAGAUCAAUUAAUCUAAUAUGACUUGCUCAUGUCGGUUCACUCUCGACUUGAUUGAGGAGGUUUUAAUUUAGGUCUCAAUUGGGUUUGCUACAUCACAUGUAAACCUAUCUACCCGGCUUUCAUUCACAUCACAUGCA
rnacentral:lncRNA from 1 species